GACAGAGGAUGCAAGCGUUAUCCGGAAUGAUUGGGCGUAAAGCGUCUGUAGGUGGCUUUUUAAGUCCGCCGUCAAAUCCCAGGGCUCAACCCUGGACAGGCGGUGGAAACUACCAAGCUGGAGUACGGUAGGGGCAGAGGGAAUUUCCGGUGGAGCGGUGAAAUGCGUAGAGAUCGGAAGGAACGCCCGUGGCGAAAGCGAGAUCCUGGACGUUUUCUGACGCUGAGACGCGAAAGCCAGGGGAGCGAACGGG
rnacentral:rRNA from 1 species